UACGUAGGUGGCAAGCGUUAUCCGGAAUUAUUGGGCGUAAAGAGCGCGCAGGUGGUUGAUUAAGUCUGAUGUGAAAGCCCACGGCUUAACCGUGGAGGGUCAUUGGAAACUGGUCGACUUGAGUGCAGAAGAGGGAAGUGGAAUUCCAUGUGUAGCGGUGAAAUGCGUAGAGAUAUGGAGGAACACCAGUGGCGAAGGCGGCUUCCUGGUCUGUAACUGACACUGAGGCGCGAAAGCGUGGGCAGCAAACAGGAUUAGA
rnacentral:rRNA from 1 species